rnacentral:rRNA from 2 species
GGGGAAUAUUGCACAAUGGGGGAAACCCUGAUGCAGCGACGCCGCGUGGAGGAAGAAGGUUUUCGGAUUGUAAACUCCUGUCGUUAGGGACGAUAAUGACGGUACCUAACAAGAAAGCACCGGCUAACUACGUGCCAGCAGCCGCGGUAAAACGUAGGGUGCAAGCGUUGUCCGGAAUUACUGGGUGUAAGGGGAGCGCAGGCGGACCGGCAAGUUGGAAGUGAAAACUAUGGGCUCAACCCAUAAAUUGCUUUCAAAACUGCUGGCCUUGAGUAGUGCAGAGGUAGGUGGAAUUCCCGGUGUAGCGGUGGAAUGCGUAGAUAUCGGGAGGAACACCAGUGGCGAAGGCGACCUACUGGGCACCAACUGACGCUGAGGCUCGAAAGCAUGGGUAGCAAACAGGAUUAGAUACCCUGGUAGUCCAUGCCGUAAACGAUGAUUACUAGGUGUUGGAGGAUUGACCCCUUCAGUGCCGCAGUUAACACAAUAAGUAAUCCACCUGGGGAGUACGACCGCAAGGUUGAAACUCAAAGGAAUUGACGGGGGCCCGCACAAGCAGUGGAGUAUGUGGUUUAAUUCGAAGCAACGCGAAGAACCUUACCAGGUCUUGACAUCCGAUGCAUAGCUUAGAGAUAAGUGAAGUCCUUCGGGACAUCGAGACAGGUGGUGCAUGGUUGUCGUCAGCUCGUGUCGUGAGAUGUUGGGUUAAGUUCCGCAACGAGCGCAACCCCUAUUGUUAGUUGCUACGAAAGAGCACUCUAGCGAGACUGCCGUUGACAAAACGGAGGAAGGCGGGGACGACGUCAAAUCAUCAUGCCCCUUAUGUCCUGGGCUACACACGUAAUACAAUGGCGGUCAACAGAGGGAAGCAAAGCCGCGAGGUGGAGCAAAUCCCUAAAAGCCGUCUCAGUUCGGAUUGCAGGCUGCAACUCGCCUGCAUGAAGCUGGAAUUGCUAGUAAUCGCGGAUCAGCAUGCCGCGGUGAAUACGUUCCCG